UACGAAGGGGGCGAGCGUUGUUCGGAAUUACUGGGCGUAAAGCGCGUGUAGGCGGUUGUUCAAGUCGGGUGUGAAAGCCUUGAGCUCAACUCAAGAAAUGCACUCGGUACUGGAUGACUAGAGGACCGGAGAGGAUAGUGGAAUUCCCAGUGUAGUGGUGAAAUACGUAGAGAUUGGGAAGAACACCAGUGGCGAAGGCGGCUAUCUGGACGGUUUCUGACGCUAAGACGCGAAAGCGUGGGGAGCAAACAGG
rnacentral:rRNA from 1 species